GGCUUCCGUUUUAUUCACGUGUAAAAAUGUCGGCUCUAGAUAGUGUUGCUUCUUCAAGGAAAAACGCAGGAAGAAAGGGGUUUUGGUACCAAAUGGACUUCCAUUUUACUCUCAAAGAAGACAAGGACCAGUUCUAGUUAGGCUUGAUCGAGUUAAGGGGUCUUUAGGCACUAAAAGAAGGCGCUGGAACUGCUGUCUCAUUUACUCGCCGAUUUAGUUUUAAAAGAGAAUCAUUCUGAGGCUCUAUUACAUGAUACUAGUAGUUCUUCUGCUAUGCUCAAUACUUCAGGUAUGGGUGAUGGGGACGAAGAGCAGGGCCAUUUUGUGCAUAGAUAUAGGAUCGGCUGUUGGGAAACAUACAUUAGUGUUAGUGUGGUAUGGUUGACCGAAGGAUGAUCAGUUACAGACAGAUCGUCAUGUGAUUUGUGCUGAAUUUCGAUUCAAUCCCAGUUUUGAGUCCUGUAAUCGUAACUCAAGUUUAUUAGUUACUACAUAUAGAAGCUCGUACUAGCAUUUUUCUUGUACUGGUAUAUUACCAUCACAGUACUACCAUAUUUUUGUCGGCAUCACUGGGCACAGUUGGGAAGAGGUACACAGAUACAGGAGGCUCCUCACCAUCCCAAUAUCUAUUCAACCCUAUAUACAUAAUGUUUAUAUUUUUAAAAAUUUAGAAUAAUAUUUUUGUAUUUACUUCUUCCAGUA